ACUCCUACGGGAGGCAGCAGUGGGGAAUAUUGCACAAUGGGCGCAAGCCUGAUGCAGCAACGCCGCGUGAGCGAUGAAGGCCUUCGGGUCGUAAAGCUCUGUCCUCAAGGAAGAAUAAAUGACGGUACUUGAGGAGGAAGCCCGGCUAACUACGUGCCAGCAGCCGCGGUAAUACGUAGGGGGCAAGCGUUAUCCGGAAUCACUGGGGCGUAAAGGGUGCGUAGGCGGUUUUCAAGUCAGAAGUGAAAGGCUAUGGCUCAACCAUAGUAAGCUUUUGAAACUGUUAAACUUGAGUGCAGGAGAGGAAAGUGGAAUUCCUAGUGUAGAGGUGAAAUUCGUAGAUAUUAGGAGGAACACCAGUGGCGAAGGCGACUUUCUGGACUGUAACUGACGCUGAGGCACGAAAGCGUGGGAGCGAACAGGAUUAGAUACCCUGGUAGACUGUCA
rnacentral:rRNA from 1 species